rnacentral:rRNA from 1 species
UGGGGAAUCUUGCGCAAUGGCCUAACGGCUGACGCAGCGACGCCGCGUGAGGGAUGACGCUCUUCGGAGUGUAAACCUCUUUUGCCUGGAACGAACUAUCAGCUUCAGCUGAUUUGACGGUACCGGGUGAAUAAGCACCGGCUAACUCCGUGCCAGCAGCCGCGGUAAUACGGGGGGUGCGAGCGUUGUCCGGAAUCACUGGGCGUAAAGGGCGCGUAGGUGGCGUGAUAAGGGUGUGGUGAAAGCCCGGGGCUCAACCCCGGGUCGGCCAUGCCGACUGUCAGGCUCGAGUACUGUAGGGGCAGGCGGAAUUCCGGGUGUAGCGGUGGAAUGCGUAGAGAUCCGGAGGAAGACCGGUGGCGAAGGCGGCCUGCUGGGCAGUUACUGACACUGAUGCGCGACAGCGUGGGGAGCAAACAGG